rnacentral:misc_RNA from 1 species
UCUAUCGCCAUCCGCACGCGGCCCUCUUUUCUUUUCGCGGGCGUGGGUGCUAUUCUCUAUGCUCACCCCAAACUCAGAACCUAGCAAUACGAGCGCACUUCUCUAUUUCUUUUCCCUUCCCAACCACCGCUCUGUGCGACAAUCAUGUACGCCGGCAUCGACAUUGGUACCUCGGGCAUCAAGAUUGCCUUGAUGAGGAGUGACGGGCGAAUCGCCGACAGCGCCUCUGCCCCCCUGACGGUUUCCAGCCCGCACCCGCUGUGGAAUGAGCAGGACCCUGACUCGUGGUGGACGGCCAUCAAUAGCGCCAUGGACGAGCUCAAGAAGCGUCAGGACAUGAGCAGCGUCCGCGCGAUUGGCCUGUCGGGCCAGAUGCACGGGGCCACGCUCCUCGACAAGAACCACAAGGUGCUGCGCCCGUGCAUCCUCUGGUGCGACGGCCGCUGCUACCGCGAGUGCGAGGAGCUCGAGAAGGCAGUGCCCAAGUCGCGCGACAUCACCGGUAACCUGAUGAUGCCCGGCUUUACGGCUGGUAAGCUCCUGUGGGUCAAGAAGCACGAGCCGGAGAUCUUCGCCAAGGUGGACAAAGUGCUGCUCCCGAAAGACUACGUCCGCUUCCUCAUGACUGGCGACUUUGCCUCUGAGAUGUCGGACUCCUCCGGGUCCAUGUGGAUGGACACAGGCAAGCGCGACUGGAAUGAUGACAUUCUGCGCGCGACCGGGCUCAGCCGCGCCAAUAUGCCGAAACUGUAUGAGGGGUCGGAGAUCACCGGCAAGCUUUCGGCGGACGUGGCGAAGCGCUGGAACAUGAACCGCGUGCCAGUGGUGGGCGGUGGCGGCGAUAAUGAAGCCGGUGCUGUCGGUGCAGGCCUCUUCAAGCCGGGCCAGGCGAUGCUCUCCCUCGGAACGUCAGGCGUGUACUUUGUCGUCUCUGACGGCUUCCACUACAACACGAAGGAGGCGGUCCACAGCUUCUGCCACGCGCUUCCGGAGCGCUGGCACCUGAUGUCAGUCAUCCUCAGCUGCGCCGUGUGCCUGGAGUGGGCUGCGAAGCUGACAGGGUGCUGGAGCGUCGACGAAUUUGUGAGCGAAGCGACGAAGGCAAAGAACUUCGAUGAGCGUCCCCUGUACUUCCUGCCCUACCUCGCCGGCGAGCGCACGCCGCACAACAACCCGAACGCGAAGGGCGUCUUCUUUGGCCUCACCUCCCACCACAGCCGCCCAGAGCUGGCGCGCGCGGUGCUGGAGGGCGUGAGCUUUGCCCUGGCUCAGGGCAUGGCCGCCGUGCACCGCUGCGGCGUGGAGCCGAGCAAUAUUGCCCUCAUCGGCGGCGGCUCGCGCAGCCGCUUCUGGCGCCAGAUGCUGGCCGAUGUCAGCGGCUACCCGAUGGACUACUGCGUCGGCUCGGAGGUAGGCCCUGCCCUCGGCGCCUGCCGCCUCGCACAGAUCGCCGUAGAGACGCGCCCACUGGAGGAGCUGCUGCCUUGCCUGCCGCUGAAGGAGACCCACCAGCCCGACAUGAAGAAGCACGAGCAGUACAAGAAGCGCCGCGUGAUUUAUGACGAGCUGUACAAGCAGCUGAAACCAGUCAUGAACGCCAAGCUGUAAGCUACACACCGGCAUGCCCGACAACGUUCGCCGAGCGCACCGAACAUUACCCGUUUUUUUUUUUCGUGCUGUUUGCCGGCUUCCGUUUUCCUUCCCUUUUUCGCUUCUGUUCCCCUCGCGACCCACUGAUGACUGCGGGCCCAUGUCAGUGCGUGACAUUUCAGGAUCCAGUACCGAAUCGGUGGUAAGGCCACAGCAGUGCCUAUCCCCUCCAUAUGCCGAACCACCUCUGGUAGUGACAGGGUCAAGUAUCUGCGACGUGGGGCGGCCAGAGCAAUGCGUCGCUAGGGAUGCUUGUGGCCGAGUCCUGGAUGGUGCCGCGCUGGAGAGACCUGCGGCAGCGAACACGCUUGUACCACCCACAUGAUUCGGCGGAGUGCCGGCGUGGCUCGGACGCGUCUCUCACCCCCUCCCCCCGUCUGCACACUGCCUACUGGUGGUGGGGAGCGUGAGUGUCACCCGACGAGGAGGGGGAGGGGGAAUGUACCAGAGGUGGCGGCCGGCGUGAUUGGAGGAGCGGCUGUGAGCCGGCCUGCGAGGCGGCCGUGAUGGGUAGAGUAUGUGGGCCGGGCCCGUGCACUGGUGACCGAGUCGUUGCGUUGCUGCAACGCGCGUUUCCAGCGCUGCUUCACACCAGGCGAUGGGGCGUGUGACAGGGCCGCUGUGGAGUGAAGCUGAGCUCGUGCUGUAUGGCAGAGAGUGGACACGCUGAAGAAACAGCAAACCGCCUCGACGACGAGAUCCAGAGCCUACACAAACAUACAGCUACCCAGUCCGCUGGACACAUCCGUGCGUGAUCACAGGCUCCAUGACACUGCACGCCUGAGGUAGUACUGUAGAGGCUGUCCGUCUUUGGCAGAGGCGAGAGGCAGCCGGGCAGAACCCAGAAGAGAAGGAGGUGGCGUGGUAUUCAUCAUGCGCCCCCCGCACUGACUCGCUCACGGACUCCCUCUCCUGUGCCGGACACAGGUACACAAUGCCCUCCUCCACUCUGUGUGGGCUGACCUCCCUAUCAGUUGGAUUCGACCUUCUUUGGUGAAGCCUCCCAUUCACGUGACGUAUGAAGACGAGGCUCUCGAAGAACGCACGCACAAAAGGAUAUCAGGCCAGCGUGCUUCAGGUGGGAUUCGUGUAGUCGUUGUGAUUCGCGGUCAUGAGACAGGGAUCCGAGGAUCCUGUAGCUGCGUAUUCUGUUCCCCCCCUUCCUCAGCCGCCGAUGAUAUCUGAACUUUGCUUGUUUCUCGUCGCUGUCCUGCCCGUUGUCCGUGGCCUCUCUUUUUUUUUCUUUUGUAUUGCUCCAAGCGUCGGCCAUGUGUGGUGACGGCACCCUGUGAUGUUGCGUGGGUGCCCGCACAUGGAUGAGCGGUUGUUCAGCAGAGAGGGAGAGCACACCGCCACAUCAAGACCAUCGCCAGAGUUUUUGGUCACUCGAUAAGGAACCAAAAGGAAACACACAAACUCCACCAAAAGGCAUGCGAAGCAUUCUCUCGCUGAGCAGCAGGUUCAACUCCAUGUUCAGCAGACCGCCUCGACCUUUUCGUCUAUUUUUACUUUCUGGGCUUUCGGGUCUUUCCUUCUGCCUGCCCUCUUUCCCGUUUCACUUUCCUUCUAAAACGAUUUCGUACCGCGCACACUUCUUCGUCUUCUGUUUGGGCUUUCGUGUUUUUUUUUUGUCCUCCGUUUGUGAACGUCUUCGCCCUCCUCUCCUCGCCCCUCCUCCUCCGGAUCUCACUUCCUCUUCUCAACUGCCCCGCGUCCCUUUGAAGAUUUGCCUGACUACGGUCCGCGCACUCACGCACGCAUGCACACAUGCGCGAAGCCUUCUUCAUCCCCGUCACCGCCUAUUGCACGCAUCCGUGGUCAUAAUGCCUGUGUGUCCGUGCUGCGUGCGGGCAUGCGAGGAUAUGCCCAAAAGCGGUGUGUGCGUGUGUGCGGACAGAGGACCUGAUGGAGGGCGACGGUGCGCAAAGCUGCGCGAGGCAGGGUGGAGGACUGCGACGCGCCUUUUACGGCCCUUUUUCCUUGUGCGCCCGCCUCGCCGUCUGUCUUUUAUAGUUACUGGAAGACAACCACAUACACCCUGCCUGCAGACAUGGAGAAUGGGCGCAUGCGCCCGCGCGUGUGUCUGCAUGCCCUUUCCCUGCUUAGCCGUGUGCUGGUUCUUUCUUUUCACGUGCGACGAUAUUGGUGCUCUUUGCCUCGAGGGGGGGGCGGUCGCGGGAUGUGCGGCAGCUGAGGGAGCGAGGCAAAACGAAAACAGAAACAGCAGCGCAGUGGUGAAGUGCAGCAGGAUGACCUGCAAGUCGUAGAAGGAGUCUUCUCAUUCUCGGCAUCGAAAUGGGAUGCAGGCUCUUCUCUUUGCAGCACCUUUCUUUUUUUUUGUUCCUUAUCCGCUGUGUGCCCCUCUCUCGUCUUAUCCGUGCACACACGCGUGCAUCGGCGUGCGUGGGCGUGCUUGUCGGCCGUCAUAUAUGCCUGCCUGCACACUGUCUCAGCGCCCCUCGCUUUUGCCGCGAUUGAUUGCGAGGUGCCAGUGGUACACGAACAACGGCACAUCAGCGGCACCUUAGCACAAAACACCAGUGCAGCACCCCGCCAUGGAAACCCUUCACCCCGCUUUGUUCUUAUGGUUACGAUUUGUUGCGCGCAACGGUG